rnacentral:rRNA from 1 species
GACGAACGCUGGCGGCGUGCCUAAUACAUGCAAGUUGAGCGCUGACGGUUGGUACUUUUCCCAACUGGUUGAGCAGCGAACGGGUGAGUAACGCGUGGGGAAUCUGCCUUUGAGCGGGGGACAACAUUCGGAAACGAAUGCUAAUACCGCAUAAAAACUUUAAACACAAGUUUUAAGUUUGAAAGAUGCAAUUGCAUCACUCAAAGAUGAACCCGCGUUGUAUUAGCUAGUUGGUGAGGUAAAGGCUCACCAAGGCGAAGAUACAUAGUCGAACUGAAAGGGAGAUCGGCCACAUUGGGAAUGAGACACGGCCCAAGCUCCUACGGGAGGCAGCAGUAGGGAAUCUUCGGCAAUGGACGGAAGUCUGGCCGAGGAACGCCGGGUGAGAGAAGGAGGGUUUCGGAGCGUAAAACUCUGUUGGUAGAGAAGAACGUGGGUGAGGGUAGAAAGCUCAUCAAGUGACGGUAACUGCAGAAAAAGGGACGGCUAACUACGUG